UUGCACGCUGGCGGCAGGCCUAACACAUGCAAGUCGAACGGUAACAGGAAGCAGCUUGCUGCUUUGCUGACGAGUGGCGGACGGGUGAGUAAUGUCUGGGAAACUGCCUGAUGGAGGGGGAUAACUACUGGAAACGGUAGCUAAUACCGCAUAACGUCGCAAUACCAAAGAGGGGGACCUUAGGGCCUCUUGCCAUCGGAUGUGCCCAGAUGGGAUUAGCUAGUAGGUGGGGUAACGGCUCACCUAGGCGACGAUCCCUAGCUGGUCUGAGAGGAUGACCAGCCACACUGGAACUGAGACACGGUCCAGACUCCUACGGGAGGCAGCAGUGGGGAAUAUUGCACAAUGGGCGCAAGCCUGAUGCAGCCAUGCCGCGUGUAUGAAGAAGGCCUUCGGGUUGUAAAGUACUUUCAGCGGGGAGGAAGGGAGUAAAGUUAAUACCUUUGCUCAUUGACGUUACCCGCAGAAGAAGCACCGGCUAACUCCGUG
rnacentral:rRNA from 1 species